CAGCGAGGUAUGUGGUUUAAUUCGACGCUUACGCGAAGAACCUUACCUGGGCUUGACAUGCUUGAGAAAGAGCCAAGAACUGGCUCCCCAUGACCGCAAGGUCAUGGCUCAUCCACAGGUGCUGCAUGGUUGUCGUCAGCUCGUGUCGUGAGAUGUAAGGUUAAGUCCUUGAACGAGCGCAACCCCCUGUCGCUAGUUGCUAACCCGCAAGGGUGCACCCUAGCGAUACUGCCAGCUAAAAGUUGGAGGAAGGAGGGGAUGACGUCAAAUCCUCAUGGCCUUUAUGUCCAGGGCUACACACAUGCGACAAUGGUCGGUACAACGGGUCGCAACACCGCGAGGUGAAGCCAAUCCCUAAAAACCGACCUCAGUUCAGAUUGCAGGCUGCAAUUCGCCUGCAUGAAGAUGGAGUUGCUAGUAACCGCGGGUCAGCUACACCGCGGUGAAUAUGUUCCCGGGCCUU
rnacentral:rRNA from 1 species